UACUCAACAAGUAAAGACGCGUCGCUAAUUUUAUUUAGGCCGGAUUUGUAAAAAAAAAACUGCGAUUAUUAUUAACCCUAAUUACAUGAGAAAAAUAAUAAAAUUUAAUUAUUAAUUAAAAAUACAAUUGUUAUUUUAUAAAAAAUAUUUAAAUAAAUUUCAAAUAAAAUAAAUUUAUUUAUUCGCCAUUUUCAUGAAACGAUCGCUUUAUUCGCCGACCAAUAUCUGAUUGACAUCAGCCAUUAGAUUCAAGUUAAAACGUAAAUAAUAAAGUUGCUUUUUUUUUUUUGUAAUAAUAAAUAAAAGCGGUUUAAAAUGAAUAAUCAAGGAGGAAAUUCAGUGAACCAGCCAUUGAAUAAAUCCAACUCUGGGAGCAAUAAAAUUUUAAAACAGAGUAAGAGAAACCGUCAGCGGUCACAGAAAAAUGAUUUAAAUCGUCCGGCCGAUAUCCAAAUUUAUAGUUCUCGUGCGUCUGAUAAUCUUUCGGUUAAUUACGUGAAUUUUUCACUAGGUAAUGGAAGUCGUCGCUACAGCUAUGACGAAUCUUAGGUCAUCUGAUUUAUUGAUUCUUUGACAGCUGAAAUUUAAACAACUUAUGGAGGAUCAAAUUACUGGAGACAAUGACUGUACUCUUUAGCAUAUAACUAAUUUAUAAUUUAAAUUACAUUUAUUAAGUACUCAAGGAAAAAAAUAUGUAUUUUUAAUUAUAAAUAAAUUUAUAAGAUUAAUA